UUCCUUGUAAUUGGCGUAUUAGCUCCUUUAAUGGGCUAACUUUUGCGUUUGAACUCCAAGUAAAAUAAAGCUGAAAGCCCUUCAAAAACACUAGGCCCGGCCUAAAAUGAUGGAUUUCUCGAGGAAAGCUAACUGAGGCUCCCCCCUGGUUAGCUAAUCUAGGUUAUUGCGUAAUUUCGAUUCUCACAUAUUUGCCCCUCUUUUCAAAUUCCAAAUAUAUUCAUUUUCCCAUCUGCCGCUCAUUUGCAAUUGUGAGCAGAAAUUUCAAGGGAACAAGGUGCAACGAGUUCGCGCCGCCCCACACCUUCUUCUUCGAUCUACAGGGGUGCGCGAUUUGCUGGGUCUAUCGUCGCCGACUUCAAUUGCCGUCGAGCGGUGGUCGGCUGUUGUUCAAUUGAAUUUUCAACGGACUACUGUUAUCUGUUCUGUGAGUGUUUCAAGCCCAUUUUCUUUGCAAUUGACGAGUGUUUCAAUUCCAUUUUCUUUCCCAGUUCAAGAGUGUCUUACUGUGAAGUUGUGUAAAUGUUGGAAUGGUGACUUUGUUGUUUUGUUGCUGCUAUAAAAUGUAUGCACAUCGCAUUGCUCUUGUGUUUUAAGUUAUGCAUUUGUGAAUUA